rnacentral:rRNA from 1 species
UGGGGAAUAUUGCACAAUGGAGGAAACUCUGAUGCAGCGACGCCGCGUGAGUGAAGAAGGUCUUCGGAUCGUAAAACUCUGUCCUUGGUGACGAAAAAAAUGACGGUAGCCAAGGAGGAAGCCCCGGCUAACUACGUGCCAGCAGCCGCGGUAAUACGUAGGGGGCGAGCGUUGUCCGGAUUUACUGGGCGUAAGGGUGAGUAGGCGGUAAUAUGUGUCAGAUGUAAAAGGCUAUGGCUUAACCAUAGUUGGCAUUUGAAACUGUAUUACUUGAGUGCAGGAGAGGUAAGUGGAAUUCCUAGUGUAGCGGUGAAAUGCGUAGAUAUUAGGAGGAACACCAGUGGCGAAGGCGACUUACUGGACUGUAACUGACGCUGAGUCACGAAAGCGUGGGUAGCAAACA